AUCCACUCACACCUGUGCACCCUCGGUAUUUCUAUGGCCUGGCGGGGCUCUGUCCCUCUUGCUGUGGUCCUACACCUUUACACACACACUGUAACAAAAGUAUAAUGGAAUGUAUGUCCCGUCUAACGCAAUACAAUACAACUUUCAGCAACGGAUCUCUUGGCUCUCGCAUCUAUGAAGAACGCAGCGAAAUGCGAUAAGUAAUGUGAAUUGCAGAAUUCAGUGAAUCAUCAAAUCUUUGAACGCACCUUGCGCCCUUUGGCUAUUCCGAAGGGCAUGCCUGUUUGAGUAUCAUGAACACCUCAACUCUCAUGGUCUGCCAUGAUGAGCUUGGACUUUGGGGGUCUUGCCGGCGUAACUGUCGGCUCCUCUCAAAUGAAUCACCUUGCCAGUGUUUGGUGGCGUCACAUGUGUGAUAACUAUCUACGCUUGUGAUCUUCCAUCAGGUUACCUUCAAUAAUGGGGGUUCGCUGGAGCUCACAUAUGUGUCUCUCCUCAGGGAGGACAGCUUUUUAAUGUUUGAUCUCAAAUCAGGUAGGACUACCCGCUGAACUUAAGCAUAUC
rnacentral:rRNA from 1 species